AAGGAGUCUAACAUCUAUGCGAGUGUUUGGGUGUCAAGCCCGGGCGCGUAAUGAGAGUGAACGGAGGUGGGAGCCCCUCGGGGUGCACCAUCGACCGAUCCUGAUGUCUUCGGAUGGAUUUGAGUAAGAGCAUAGCUGUUGGGACCCGAAAGAUGGUGAACUAUGCUUGAAUAGGGUGAAGCCAGAGGAAACUCUGGUGGAGGCUCGCAGCGGUUCUGACGUGCAAAUCGAUCGUCAAAUUUGGGCAUAGGGGCGAAAGACUAAUCGAACCAUCUAGUAGCUGGUUCCUGC
rnacentral:misc_RNA from 1 species